rnacentral:lncRNA from 1 species
AUGACCUACAUUUGUGAACUCUUAAAGAGUCUCUAUUAUUAUUAUUACUUAAGAAUGUCAGAGAAGUCACAGGGUUGUACUCAAAUAACAAAUAAUUAUCUGAAUAAAAACAUAAAGUCUAAUAAAAAAUUAAUUUACCAAUAAUUUGUUUCCAAGUGUCCAAAAUUGGGAUAUUUCCCAUUCAAUAUAUGAAACAAAACACAAAGCUGAGAAUUAUUAUAUACUCCAGUGAGAGCCCUGCUGGUCAGGCAUACACUCUCUGAGUAGAACAUACUGCUAGUCUCAGUUUGGACGGGAGUGUGGUACUUAGUGGCUGGUGAACUUUCAGAGGCUUGCAAAAUCUUAUUCACUACGUUGUUACUGAUUCAUUAAACAGACUUAAAACCAAUGCUAAAGAAGUGUCAGUUAUUAAGUAAGCCGAUUUCAAACUGGUUCUGAUGACUAAUUGUUACCAUGGCUAUAUGAGAAUCAGUCUUCUCUUAGGAGUUUGGGAACUCCUUUUGUCUUUACAAGAUAAACACAUAAGCCAACACACACACACAUAUAUACACUAAAGGAUAUGAUAUAUACUGGUCAUGUGGUUUUAUAACAUUUCACAAAAAAACCCAAAUACUGUCAGUGUUAAGGAUAAAUACCACUUGCCUUAUAUUUAAUCAUUCAAUCAGUCAUCAGAUGUUAUACUGCAGGUUCUGGAAAUUCACAGGUGAACAUGCAAAGCAACAACAAAGGGCUUUAGAGCAGUGCUAUUCAAAGUGGGUCUGGUCCACAUUUUUUUUUUAAACACACUGCAAUGAGGUAGGUACAAAAAUCGAGUGCCUAGAAACUCUUAGAACAAAGUUGUAUUUGACAAUAAUUUUUUGUCUGUUGAAUUUCAUAAAAAUUGAAGUUUGCAUUUUGUGUAUCUUUUUAAAUUUCAUUUUUCUAGUCAUUCAUUGCUGUUGUCUUUACCAAGGUACUGAUUCACAAACUAGUUUUCACUACAGUAUCUGAAGAAAAUUACUUAAAGGGGCUCAAGAAAAGCAGCCAGAGUAGGUGAGGUUGUAUUACGCUUGCUACCAAGAUACAUGCAAAAAUAACAUGCAUUACACACCAAGAAGUACUUGCUCCAAAAUUAGAAGGAUGGUGCUAGUGGCCUAAAAGAAAAUCCCUCAGCAGAUGAUGCAGCACACUAAUGGAAGGCUGCACCAUCUAUGUUGCAGAUGGACUA